rnacentral:misc_RNA from 1 species
CAGAGUUCAUGCCCUUACGGGUAGAUCUCCCACCCUUGUAUAAUAUAAUUAUCUGUUGCUUUGGCGGGCCGCGAGCUUAGCUAGCCCGGGUAUUCCCCGGUGCGCCCGCCAAAGGACCCUCAAACUCUGAAUAUUAGUGUCGUCCGAGUACUAUAAAAUAGUUA